GUACACCGCUAGAUACAUGUUUUUAUUCUCUACGAAGAAUGUAUGAAGAUAUUGGGGCCGAGAAACAAUUGAUUUAAAAAAUAUUGCAACUUUAAUCUUCCAAAGUUUAUCGUAUGAAAAAGAAAGAAAGACAACGCAGUGUCUUACAUUUCCGCAGUAGUAAGGCGACCAACGCGUACUAACGCGUGCGCUGCGCGUCACAUGAACGCACAACAUAUAUAGACAGAAUACACUGUAGCAGGUAUCGAUAGAUCGACAUUUUUGCGAAAAUCUCGCAGACUAGGGCUAAGCUACGAUUGCAAAAUGUCCUAUAUUCGAAAUAUCUAACGUAUGCAAAAGUCAUUGAAAUCUAAGUUCAAGGGUCGUCGGUCGCCGGAUCGAAAAAACUUAUCCCGAAACACAAAUCCAAUACACUGAUGAUAUUCGUUUCUCAUUGAAUUAUAAUAGAUGUUUCUUACAAUCUUGCAUACGUAGUUGUGAUCGGAUUUUGGUAAUUAUUUAUUUCAAGGAACACCAACGCCGAUGACGUUGAUUCUCACGUAUGUCGUUAAGUGCUUGAUUCUGAGUAAAUUUUUGCUGAUAACUUC